rnacentral:rRNA from 1 species
GCGGACGGGUGAGUAAUGCUUGGGAAUCUGGCUUAUGGAGGGGGAUAACUGUGGGAAACUGCAGCUAAUACCGCGUAUAAUCGAGAGAUGAAAGGGUGGGACCGUAAGGCCACUUGCCAUAAGAUGAGCCCAAGUGGGAUUAGGUAGUUGGUGGGGUAAAGGCCUACCAAGCCUGCGAUCUCUAGCUGGUCUGAGAGGAUGGCCAGCCACACUGGGACUGAGACACGGCCCAGACUCCUACGGGAGGCAGCAGUGGGGAAUAUUGCGCAAUGGGGGGAACCCUGACGCAGCCAUGCCGCGUGAAUGAAGAAGGCCUUCGGGUUGUAAAGUUCUUUCGGUGAUGAGGAAGGGGUAUUAUUGAAUAGAUAAUAUCAUUGACGUUAAUUACAGAAGAAGCACCGGCUAACUCCGUGCCAGCAGCCGCGGUAAUACGGAGGGUGCGAGCGUUAAUCGGAAUAACUGGGCGUAAAGGGCACGCAGGCGGACUUUUAAGUGAGAUGUGAAAUCCCCGAGCUUAACUU